rnacentral:rRNA from 1 species
CAUUAUUGAAACUUGAAUCGUAGCAUU